UGAAUGGUUAAACCAAGUGUUUCAGUCAUGUCCACACCCUCUCCAGGUUCUUCCCAUAUAGAUGGAUCUCUCGAUACCGCCCAAAUGUUCAUCAUCACUCGUGUACCUGAUGGGAUAUCGUAACCAUGUAGUUUGACGUCUUUAGUUGGUGCACGAGGACCAAGUAUUGGAGCUGGAGGAUGUAGUCGUAAGGAUUCUUUAAGGACCGCUUUUAGGUAAGGCAUUUUGUCUAGGUCGUCUUCGGGGAUCAUUGAGCUUCCUUGUCCUAUUUUGUGUACCUCUUGUUGCAAUUCUUUCAUAACACGUGGGUUUUGUAAUAGCUCAUUAAUCGCCCAGUCUAUGGGUGUGAAUGUUGUAUCAGUGCCACCAACAAACAUGUCCUACGAAACAAGAAUCAUAUCACACAAAUAUAUAGGUGAUGGU
rnacentral:lncRNA from 1 species